rnacentral:rRNA from 1 species
UACGUAGGCAGCAAGCGUUGUUCGGAUUUACUGGGCGUAAAGGGUGUGUAGGCGGUUGUUUAAGUUUGGUGUGAAAUCUCCCGGCUCAACUGGGAGGGUGCGCCGAAUACUGAAUGACUUCGAGUGCGGGAGAGGAGAGUGGAAUUCCUGGUGUAGCGGUGAAAUGCGUAGAUAUCAGGAGGAACACCGGCGGUGUAGACGGCUCUCUGGACCGUAACUGACGCUGAGACACGAAAGCGUGGGUAGCAAACAGG